GCCGGGGUGGCGGAACUGGUAGACGCGCCGGAUUCAAAAUCCGGUUCUGGAAACAGAGUGGGGGUUCGAUUCCCCCCCCCGGCA
rnacentral:tRNA from 1 species